ACGCCGUCCCGAGCGGCGUACGCGGCCUGAACGGGCCCGUGUGGCGGGGGUGGUGCCGUGUCGGCGCAGCACCACCCCCGCGCC
rnacentral:ncRNA from 15 species